rnacentral:rRNA from 1 species
GACGAACGCUGGCGGCGUGCUUAACACAUGCAAGUCGAACGGAAAGGCCCUGCUUUUGUGGGGUGCUCGAGUGGCGAACGGGUGAGUAACACGUGAGUAACCUGCCCUUGACUUUGGGAUAACUUCAGGAAACUGGGGCUAAUACCGGAUAGGAGCUCCUGCUGCAUGGUGGGGGUUGGAAAGUUUCGGCGGUUGGGGAUGGACUCGCGGCUUAUCAGCUUGUUGGUGGGGUAGUGGCUUACCAAGGCUUUGACGGGUAGCCGGCCUGAGAGGGUGACCGGCCACAUUGGGACUGAGAUACGGCCCAGACUCCUACGGGAGGCAGCAGGGGGGAAUAUUGCACAAUGGGCGGAAGCCUGAUGCAGCAAAGCCGCGUGCGGGAUGACGGCCUUCGGGUUGUAAACCGCUUUCGCCUGUGACGAAGCGUGAGUGACGGUAAUGGGUAAAGAAGCACCGGCUAACUACGUG